rnacentral:rRNA from 1 species
UGAGGAAUAUUGGUCAAUGGACGAGAGUCUGAACCAGCCAAGUAGCGUGCAGGAUGACGGCCCUAUGGGUUGUAAACUGCUUUUGUUUGGGAAUAAUCGACAUUACGUGUAAUGUUUUGCAUGUACCAUUCGAAUAAGGACCGGCUAAUUCCGUGCCAGCAGCCGCGGUAAUACGGAAGGUCCAGGCGUUAUCCGGAUUUAUUGGGUUUAAAGGGAGUGUAGGCGGUUGGUUAAGCGUGUUGUGAAAUGUAGAUGCUCAACAUCUGACUUGCAGCGCGAACUGGCUGACUUGAGUACACACAACGUAGGCGGAAUUCAUGGGGUAGCGGUGAAAUGCUUAGAUAUCAUGAAGAACUCCGAUUGCGAAGGCAGCUUACGGGAGUGUUACUGACGCUUAAGCUCGAAGGUGCGGGUAUCGAACAGG